UUGUUAAGAAAACAAUUCGUGCCAUUUAUUACGAAAGCUACUUCAACUGAUAGAAAAACUCGUGCAGAUGAUUCUAGCCAGGUGCCAAAGACAAAAUUCGAUACCAAAGCAUCUGACCUUCUUACCCGCGAUUUAAAGCCCACUGGUGACGUAGGCUCAAUACAGAAAUCUUUGACUCAAACAUCUUGUGACGACCAGCGGUGGGAAAGACUGAGAUUUAUGAAAGUUUAAUUCCAAAACAACUCUUUGAUGAUUUAUCGGCCGAACUCAUUAAAGAAGGAGCCAGACA